rnacentral:misc_RNA from 1 species
GAUGAAGAACGCAGCGAAAUGCGAUAAGUAGUGUGAAUUGCAGAAUUCAGUGAAUCAUCGAAUCUUUGAACGCACAUUGCGCCCCUUGGUAUUCCAUGGGGCAUGUCUGUUCGAGCGUCAUUUGUACCUUCAAGCUCUGCUUGGUGUUGGGUGUUUGUCUCGCCUCUGCGUGUAGACUCGCCUCAAAAUAAUUGGCAGCCGGCGUAUUGAUUUCGGAGCGCAGUACAUCUCGCGCUUUGCACUCAUAACGACGACGUCCAAAAGUACAUUUUUACACUCUUGACCUCGGAUCAGGUAGGGAUACCCGCUGAACUUAAGCAUAUCAAUAAGCGGAGGA